rnacentral:lncRNA from 1 species
ACUUUUCACUUCGAUUUCAUUUCAAUCCAUGAAUCCAUAAAUAAAAAGAUCUUUAAGAGUAAGAUAUCUAACUAUAUUACAUAACUAACUUUGCUUUGUGGCUUAGAGAUGUCAUACAUAGAAUUAUAUAACAAGAACCAUGAAGGGAGAAGAGCCAUUGUUGGUUCACCAUUGAGAUUUUAAAACUUUGGAGCAAAUACAUGAGUCAUGUUGAAGAGAAAGAAAACCAAUUUGAUGAUUUAGUCAUGGAGUGAGAAAAAUAUCGAAAUAGUAAAGUGGCGUUGAAUGCAUCACUUUCUAACUAUGUACUACACGCAAUCCAAGUGCUUUGUCAUUUUCUUUCGAUGUAGAAAUUCCAAUUUUAAAGUAUAUGCGUUGGAAAAUUGUUUUCCUUUUGCGUUGUUUUGUGAAGGAGUUAUUAUUGCAUCAUUGUUCUUAUGUAAAGAGAAUAAAAUGCUCCCAUAAA